AGAGUUUGAUCAUGGCUCAGAUUGAACGCUGGCGGCAUGCCUUACACAUGCAAGUUUGAACGGCAGCACGGGAGCAAUCCUGGUGGCGAGUGGCGAACGGGUGAGUAAUAUAUCGGAACGUGCCCAGUCGUGGGGGAUAACGCAGCGAAAGCUGUGCUAAUACCGCAUACGAUCUAUGGAUGAAAGCGGGGGACUCGCAAGAGCCUCGCGCGAUUGGAGCGGCCGAUAUCAGAUUAGCUAGUUGGUGAGGUAAAGGCUCACCAAGGCGACGAUCUGUAGCUGGUCUGAGAGGACGACCAGCCACACUGGAACUGAGACACGGUCCAGACUCCUACGGGAGGCAGCAGUGGGGAAUUUUGGACAAUGGGCGCAAGCCUGAUCCAGCAAUGCCGCGUGCAGGAUGAAGGCCUUCGGGUUGUAAACUGCUUUUGUACGGAACGAAACGGUCUACCCUAAUACGGUGGGCUAAUGACGGUACCGUAAGAAUAAGCACCGGCUAACUACGUGCCAGCAGCCGCGGUAAUACGUAGGGUGCGAGCGUUAAUCGGAAUUACUGGGCGUAAAGCGUGCGCAGGCGGUUAUAUAAGACAGAUGUGAAAUCCCCGGGCUCAACCUGGGACCUGCAUUUGUGACUGUAUAGCUAGAGUACGGUAGAGGGGGAUGGAAUUCCGCGUGUAGCAGUGAAAUGCGUAGAUAUGCGGAGGAACACCGAUGGCGAAGGCAAUCCCCUGGACCUGUACUGACGCUCAUGCACGAAAGCGUGGGGAGCAAACAGGAUUAGAUACCCUGGUAGUCCACGCCCUAAACGAUG
rnacentral:rRNA from 1 species